GAGGAAUCUGGCACUCUACCUUAAAUGUAGUGAAAAUUCCAUAGACCACGGUGCUGCAUGGCAUGUAAUAUAAUAGAAAUGAACGAAGAGAGAGCACUCAAUGGAUUUUUCAAAGUUGUAUUUGUGUUAUAUUAAAACGAUCAUUAUUUCGAACCAGGAGGUCUUUAUCAUUAUUUUUAUUUUUCGUUUUUUUAUUUUCUGUUUAACUAUUAAGGGAUAUUAUCCAUACUCACGUGCAUGAGUCCUUUUGUAUGUAUUUCUUAACAUUGUUUAACAAUUUCUUCUAAGCAUAGGUGGACAGCACAUGUAUUCCAUUACAUAUUCUCGCUCUUAGAUUAAAUUAUGGUCAAAUACAUUGUAUAACUUUCAUAUAUUUUUUCUAGUUUAAAUUUAACAUAAGAUUUUUUCAUGUACACAAAUCUAGACUAUGUUUCUUCCCUGCUUGAUUGGUCAGACGAUAUACCUUUUAGCAUACAGUAAUAUGUUGUCCAUAUGUAUAUAGACCUUUGCAUUUUCACUAUGUCAUUUGUUUAUUUUCAUUAUUUAGUUUUGUCCACAUUUGUUUGGGUGUCACAUUUUCUUUCACUUUGUUUCUAUUUCCACACUUCACCUUGUCACAUAAUUUGCACCGUCACCCCAUAUCUCUAUAGUCUCACUCUUCCCCUUUUUUCUCUCUCAUCAUGCUUCAUCCCUAUACUUCUUUUUUCACUCUUCUACUUUUCUUUUCCCACUCUUUUAUUUGUCUCUUCCUAUCACUUUUCACGUUCACCACACACAUAUUUAAUCCUUCUCUUCUCAUUCACAUCGACUCCUUUGGUCUUAUACAUUCAACUGAUCUACUUAGUCACUAGCCCAGGUCUAUACUCAUUUGUAUAUAUACAUUAUCAUCCUUCUGUUUUUAUGGACCCUGUAAAUAUACACAGCACAUCACAUUAAUGCUUUUAUAUCCCGCGUCACCAUGGUUACCAGACGCAAUCAUAGUUACAAUAGAUUACAUACACCACGUCAUCAUGCACGUCCCUCACGCAUGCGCGGUCACUCUCACCGGUCCAUACAGCAUCUGAGCAUGGAUCAAUCGGGCACACCUGCACUGGGUAAGUGAUUUCCUUGUUUUAUGCCUUCAAUAAACUCAGAGUUUAUGCUUGUAUAUAUCUUGAUAAAGACCUCCUAGGUCAAAACAUUGAUCGUUUAAAUAAAACACGAAUACAACUUUGAAAAAUCCAUUGAGUGCUCUCUCUUCGUUCAUUUCUAAUAUAUAUAUAUAUAUAUAUAUAUAUAUAUAUAUAUAUAUAUAUACAUACAUACACUCACACACACCAAAAAAAUUGUGGUUGGGAAAAAAGUGUGGAUGAAAACCCCUUCCACCUGAAGUAAGUGGAUAGUAAAAGCAUUGCUAAGCACAAAUGCACACACCAGCCAAGCCAUAAGACGUGCUUUUCCCACAGAAAUCUCACUUUAACAGUGCACUCACUACUUAAAGGGAUUCUGGGUAGGCGAAUGCAAGUAAGCACAACAAAGAACCACAUUUUUGCCUCAUAAUUCAGCUUUAUACUUGGAUUAUUUGGAGUAUGUGUCUGCUGUAUACAACAGCUUUGAAACAACUCAGGAAGAGGAGCAAAGCCAGUGAACCACUCCUGGACAGCUGUUUCAUUCUUAAUGCAACUCAUCAGCAUCUAUGUAUAAAGUGGAAUUAUGAGGCAAAAAUGUGGGUUCUUUGUUGUGCUCAUUUGCAUAUGCCUAUGAAUGUUAUAAAGGCAGUGUGUGAUAAUUUGCAGGAUGAUCUAAAAUAAAUUUACUAUACCAUCUCCCAUUCUACAUUCAUACUUUGAGCAGGUUCAAAUAAAAUAGUUGGACAACAAAGUAUUUGAAACAGCAAUUCUCAUUGUUAUAAUUCCCUAUACAGUACCAAAGAAAUUCUAUAUCAGCAAAUUCAUUAUUGUGUAGCACUGAUUACCAAACACUAAGAAAACAUUGAUCCCAGUAUUUCUAAUCAUUAGUUCCUAGUUGUAGGAACAUCUAAACAUCUAGUUGUAACAUUUUGCUGUAGAUGUAUAGAUAAUCAUCUUACAUAUUAGAGAUAUAUUACUAAAUACAGUACUGCCUGUCUGGGAUUGAUGGGAGUCACAUUCCUGAGCAGCAGCAACAGCUUCAUUAAUUAUGUUACUUGUUUCUCUGUACUAAAAUGCCAGGGAACGUAAUAGUGGCACUUGCAAAUAAGAGCCCCUUCCCCAUGUUUGUCCUAGGGGUGUUGGUGUGUGUGUCAGUGUGCAUUUGUGCAGGUGUGUGUGUCUGGGUAUAUGUGUGUGCCCUUAACCUAGUUUUAAAACGUCAUGUAAACUAAAAGAUAAUUUUAAAGCAUAUAUGAACAUAAUAUCACUGUGCGCUCAAGAAAUCUAUAAACCAACAGCCAUUUUACCUUUGGUCUUAUGGUUUAUGUUGGUCUCCAAGGCACUCAAUCUACCCCAUGGCUAUAAUCCACAAGACAAAGGAGAUAGCUUCAACCAGGAGACAUUUUUUAUGUUUUAUUCCUGUAUAUUAGAAUAUUGGAAUGGCACACUUCGUAAAGCUUGGUGGCAUGACACAUUGCACAUUUUAUACAAGUAAUGAUACCUAACAUGGGUGUAAUUUCCCUUUAAUAAUACAUAGGACCAUGAACCUUUCCAUUAUUUUUGAAAAAUAUCUGGAAUGGACUUGAAGUGACCUAUAGAACAUUACUGUGAAAUAUUUCAAUUAGCUAUUGCUUUACUAUUUAGGCAUUAUUUUAAUAGAAUAAACACUGCCAUUUUAGUGAUAUAUUUAGUUCUCCUAUGACCUUUUUUAGCGUGUGCUUAAGUAACUGCAUCUUAUAUUAAGCUUAAAAAGUAAAUCAAUAGCAUUGUUUUAUUGCAAUUUAUAGUGCAACCUCAAUACCUAUUAGCAUUUUGGACUGAGGAACUAUCUGUAAUAAUUUAAGGUAAGCAAUGUUAGUGACAGCCACAUAUUGCUGAUCCAAGACCUUGAAUAUUUAUAUGACAAAUUACAUCAAAAUUCCGGCUUCUGCCCAGGUUUAGUACCUGUGGAACUGAAUGUAUAAUCCCUUCCAUUUCACUCAUGGAAAUCACAGUUUUGAUUUCACCUACAAUUUGUUAUUAUAUCACUGUUCCACUUGAGAUGCUAUGAUUUAAAGGAAUAUAAAUUACUUUUUAAAAGACGUUUCUGUUUAUGUUCAUCAAUCAUGUUUGAUCUGCUGUUCCAUUAAACAAGAAAAAAUGUAAAUGUAAAGUUCAGAUUUUAUCUAAUUUUAGUGUAUAAAAUACAACGAUCACUUUGUGUAAUAUAUACCAUGAAGAGCUAUUAUUUUGGAUAUGUAACGCAUAAUUAAUUUGAAUAUGUAUCACAUAAGUAAUUUCAGUGGUAUGUAAAAUAUUUAUCUGUGUUUUCUGGUUUUAACCAAAUUUUAAUCCUAUUUUAAUUUUAAGCAGGAAUAAAGCAGUGUAAAUUGUAUGACUGUCGAUUUGACUAUUGUUGAAAGAAGGAUCUUUAAAUUAUUAAUGCUUAAAAUGAUAAGAAAAUAACUUGCUGGAAUUGAUGAUCAAUGACAUGUACGAUUUUGUAUGCAAUGUCAAUAUAACAUUCACAAAUUAACACAUUUGUGAUAUUUUCAUUUAUUUACAUUGCUCAGAGAAUAAAAAAAAAUGCAUAACGGAUAUUGAUGUGAUAAUAAAUAUUUUUCAUGAAAUAAACUGUUCGGAAGACAACUUCAGAAAGAGUUAUAUGGUCUUGAAUGAAUAUUAACAUGCAUAGAAUAUUAUUUUCCUGCAUAGAAAUAUGGUGUUAUGGACAUUAUAAAUGUCUGAUAUUGAAUCAUUCAGUGCUCAAAUAAUUACAAAGCAUUUACAAUGGCACAGUCUACAUUC